AUGAGUUGAAAAGUUCGGUUUUGUCUUGGCGAUACGUUAGAGAUGUUCGGUCAAAUUGCUUUUCAUCGACUGAAAAGAUGUUGCUUUGCUGAAUCCAUGUCCAACUAUAUUGCGUUACCUGAAGGAACUAGUAACAGUAACCCAUUUGUUGAAAAAGUGCUGCUAGGAGUAUUGGUUUAAAAUGUCACGCUCUUUUUACAAAUUGCAUCUUUGAUUAGAUUUAUUACUAAAUAUGCGUCACGAGCAUUGUUUAUUCAAUAAAUCAAUUACCUUUUUUAUUCACACAAGUUGUUGAGCAUCUAUAUGCCACUAAGGGGUCUCGAACCAGGGACCUCUAGUCUCGUUUAACAAGCUGAUCAGUUAUAUCGCUGCGAUGAAACGUAACACAUGAUUACACAUAAAAUAGUGUUAUCGAUUUUGACACAUUACGUUUGAAUGAAUCCCAGUUUAGUCAUUUCGACUUAAUUGCAUUGACAUCGGUUCUUAGGACAGCUUUACCUAAAACGAUCUAGUAAGAAUUUCUAAUAAGAAUGCCUUCUUAGCAGACACUGUUUGUGCAGAUGUGCGCUAGAGAAGAUUUCGACCACCGAUUUUUAGCUAUAAAGUGACCUUUUAGGUAAAAAGAUACGAAACCUUACAGUAUUCGUAGAAUGCACCUAUGUAAAACCCAAAGCCGCUAUACAAGACAUUGUAUAUGUAUCUAUUACAUUAUAUGUAGGUACAGCCGGGUUAUUUCUGAAACGAUAAUGUAUCAAAAAAUACAAACGAUAAGAACCGAGGUUUGUGACUGCGCCCAAUGAAUGACACUCCCUGACGUAUAAUAGAAGGAAAUAAUAGAUUUUAUAUGACACCCAAUAUUUGCGCUUCUUGUUCUUUGUAUGCAAUAAUUUUAAACAGAUAUGUAUCAUACCUAGCGAUAAAGUAAAGCUGUGAAAAGCUGACGGCUGCCUACAAUACAGUGGCGUUAGCUGUAUAAAAAGACUAAAAAGAUAUACGCUUGGACUACGAUCAUGCGACUAAAUAUCAUCUUCGAAUGUAAAAAAUCUGGAAACAGAAUGAGUGGAACUCGUUAUUUUAAUUAAUAUUUCGACGAUUCUUUAGAAUCAUUGUUGAGAUAAAGGAGGAAAAGAGAUGAAGAGGAAGUAACUAUAUAAUGCGGCAAAGCAGUGAGAUAUUAAGCCUACUAAUAUUUAAAGAAGUAAACGGUACCCUACGCGUUUACGCAAUGUAUUGUCUCAUGGCUUUCUUACUGCUGCUGCCGACCCCGUCUUAUUUACGGUCCCGCUAUCCAGUUACUGACCAACAGUUUUUGACAGAGUACCGCAGGUCACAUAUCACACACUUGUCAUGUCAAAGGCAUAAAGACGCAGAGAUAUGUUGGUAUCACGUGAAACGACUGCUUGGUGGAGUAGCAAAGUCCGAUAGCGGGUGGAGGAGAUCCUUUCAGCAACCUACUGAAAUAGAUCUACCAUAUUUGCGUUGUACUACCGGCAGGUAUAUCUUAAUCAAAGCUGGGUUGGUCUGAUAGAACUCUGCCCAAAAGAACCACGCAUUUUUUAUUCAAGCCUUACAUUAUCCUAUGUAUACUUCGCGUAUAUGCUGCGUGUGUGAUAUAGAAAAAAUCAUAUUCUUUUCUGUAUUAUCUUACUUCUAUUAUCUAAGAUUUUAGAAACUAAGAUUUGAUAUUCUGCUGAAUCAAUUUCACCAUUGGGUUCAACAAUUCUAAAAAGAUAUUUUUUGAUUCACAUUUUUAGUAGAAAAAGUGUAUUCGUAACCAAAAUCAUUGUUUCCUUAUGGAUUUAAAUCUAUUAGAAGAGGGAUACACUCUUAGACGCUAAGUAUUCUAUAAAUGUCGUCAAAACAUUGAAAACAACUUACUUUUCCUUCCGCAAGCAGAAAAUUCAACAGACAUAUUCGUUAAAGCAUAGUUCAACUAAAAAGCUCAGGUAACCUAUUGCGCAUUAUCACUACAAGGCUUUAAAAGUUUACCAUAAAAUUGAUAUAUCGAUAUAUAGUUACAGGAAUCAAGCCUAGAAAAUACUUAAAGUUGCAUUACUGUCAGCAUAACGUAUUGAGGUUGUUUCAUUUGUCGUAGGAAAAAUUAGCCGAUAUACAAAAUAUGUGAUAGCAGUAAAUAAAGGUCGGCAUUGUAAGUAAGUACUUAGUGCCUUCGGGUGUUACUUUCGAGCACGCCCUGUAUCUAAGAUACGGUUACUAGUUACUUAGGCUCAUUUAUGACAAACAAACAGACAAAAAACUCAUAAAUUCACAUAGACAUACACAGAAAACGAAAAAGAGCUAUAUCACCAUCAUUAUUACUAUCGCCAUUAGUAUGGAAAAUACAACUCUUGCUAUUUAAUUUUUGCUCAUUUUAUUUAUUUUUGCCGUCUUAUUAUGAUGCUUUAGAAGACUGGCUAAUCCUUCCAGAUAAUAACAAUCCAAAAUUAGCUGAAAUUUUAAACGUUUUAAAGAUUCUUGAAACCUUCUGUACAUCCCAAUGUGUGAACCGAUCAGUUGUUUUAUAUUUGCUGGGGCAGCUAAUGUUGAUGCAACGUUUGGAACAUGAAAGAUAGGGAAAGUUUUAACGCCGGCGAGAGUUCAGCAGACUUACACACCAAUAAGGUUCAGCACCCAUGUGCAAUCAGGAAGAAUGUGUUGCGUAUAGCCCGAAACAUUAGUGCGAACGAAAUUUAUUCAGUAUCAGACUGGUAUAUAUCAUGGAACAAUUGAAUCAAAAUACAAUUGCCUGGUGACUCAUAUACAACCGACUAGGCAGAAUGAAAACACACGCUUUAUAAUUUGUAGAUAUAGAUUAACAAGAAAUGUGAUUUAAGUGAAGACUUACGCUAACUGACGAAAAACACUUUUUGACGAAAAACAGCCAGAAAUCGAACUACAAAUUGCUUAACUUAUAUGGUGCCUUCAUUGUUAACCAAAUCGGGAGGCGUCAUCGCAAUGAAGGAAAGAAAAAUCAGACGAACCCCUUUUAUAUCCACGCGUGUUUCUUUGAAAAACUGAGUAGAUUACAGCUGUCACAGCAGAACCCCGAACGGCAGUGGUCGUGUACAUUUCACAUCACGUCGCGUUCCAAUGAAACGGUGUGCUUCAUCUUCAAGCGUAUAUCAACUCGCAAGUAAACAGCUAAGCAACGUUAAUUUGUUGCAUUGACUAUCGCUGCUGCAUCAUACGGGCUUACAGGAGGGCCUUCGAAGGGAUAAAAGAGUAACUUGUGCCUCAAAUAACUUCCUAAACUCGAUUACCUGCAACUGGUUGUUCUUAGCCAUUGCUCAAUAAAAAUAAAUCAUUUCCCAAAUUUAUAUUAGAACAACAAAACUGUUUAUCAGCUAAUGUCAUAACCCCUAUAAGUAUAUAUUUUACUGCCACAAAAAGAUGUUUACUGUCUAAUAUCGACCCUCCAUUUAAUCUUCAUAAAUUAAAAUCAAACAGAAGUAGGUAGAUUCUCGGAACGCAUUAUCAGAAUAAAUGGUUAAAAAAUCCUCAGAAUAUGUUUUCGGUAAAGCCUAAAGACCUGUCAAGAGAGCUCUCGUAGUUAUUUCGAAGUUAGCUCAAAGUUAAGUACAAAUGUAUUACAGGGACAACCGCGCCGCUGCUUCGUAUUCAACUGUUGAAUUGUUUCGCUGAAUGGUGAUGGUCUUUUUAGUUUGGUCUACAGGUAUUGCCGAACAAAUUUUGAUACAAACUAAGGCCCAAUUCAACCAAAAAGUUCUACGUAAGGCUUCGAUGGUUUCGUCUUAUUUCAAAUGGUAAUGUCUAUGCUUUUAAAGGAGUGCUCAUCAUAAGCAAAAAGGCCGAACGCAAGACAAAAGGCAAGAAAAAGUAUUUAUAGGCAUUCGCACAUCGCGAGUGCCCAAAUAACUGUGUUUCUAUAGAGCCAUCAUAGAAGUUUUAGUAACGAGCUACAAGAAGACGCCUCUGGAGUUUGAAAGCACGUGAGCGCCCUCACACACCGCUGAGACGCCUGCUAGGGCGACGCUCUUUGCUUUUGAAAUUUACGUACAAGCAGGGUUGCCUCGUAGCAGUAACUUAUUCUUUGUAAAAGUAAUGGCAAGAUUCCUUACAACAUGCAUGCAGUUCAAAGAAGAAGGCUAGCCUUUGUGUAUCCCGUACGUCUGACUCAGUAUCUAACCCUGGGACGAAGGCCGAGCAAAUUGGACUCUCUUUGAAUUUCACUGUAAUAGUUUUCAGUACUAUCCGUGAUGCUGCUAAAAUCAUUGUAUCCAAGCAUGGGAUCCUCAAAUGGAAGUCUAAUAUUAAUCACUAAUAGAGAUAUAUUUCUGAAAAAUACUUUGUGCUUGCAAAAACCUUAAAAAGGCUUAAAACUGCACAAAAAGCUCAAUAUGUCUGAAAGGAAAACUAGAUGUAUAUGUAUACAUAUGAACUGCAUGAAAAUUUCACACUACGUUUAGUAACUUGGCGAACUAUAGCAAUGGUUCAAGUUACCAGACUCAUUUGAUUACACUGAUUGAUUUACCCACAUACAUUUCACUUGAAAAAAAAAAGUGAUAAUUAAGAUGAUGCAGAAAAAACAUAGUUUAACUAAAGGAUAUCCAAAUAUUUCCAUAGGCAAAAAAAUUGCGAUUACGAUUAGAAAGAAAAUAACAUGGAAAACAAGCCAAUUGUGAUGGCAAGUCUGAUACUUUCCAAGGAGCCUUCUUAUUUUUUUUGGAUACUUCCGACAGUGUUCUAUCUAGAUAAAGUGUCAAAAAUAGAGUUAGGAUCUUACUGAGCUACUAUGCUAUUAGAUCAGGUUUAGCUUAAUACUCUUCAAUGAAAACAUUUUAGGUAAUCGAUUCUUUCUUCAAGCAUUUUUAACAGGGCUGCCGUCUCAUAAAGAAUCCCUGUAUCUAGGCCGACGGUGUGCUUUCAUUAUCUUCUUUUUGAGGUUGUCUUCGCAAGUAAGUCUCAAAACAAUAUUAGUUGAUGUCAAGAGCCAUUAUUCAGCAGAAUUUAUUUCAACGUUUGUUUUGGUGACUUAAAGAAUAAUAUCUAUCACUACCGGAAUAAAGCUAAAUAUCUCAAUCAGCAUUUCCUUAAAUCAAAAAAUUUAUAAUCGAUUCUUGUAGUGCAGUUUACUAAGCUAUAUUAGUUGUAUCUUUAGAUUAGGCAACGCGGCUUAGAUAAGUACAGUCUAACAGUAGUUCGGAUAGCAAUAUUAUUAUGACUAACUUUGUCUGGAGGAACAUUCUGAAAAAUAGUUUAUGUGAGCUCAUUCACUUGAUUCUAUAAUAAAGACGCAGAGCGUAAUACUUAGUUGUUAUUUAAACCUUAGUUUACUAACUAGUCCAUAGCACAUGCGAGAGUAAUGCCGUAGCCACAUUAAUGGAAAUACGCCGAAUUAGACGAUAUAUUCAAGGGCUUCUAUCUACAAGGACUUCCAUGUGGCUGUUUGAUGAUUAGUAAUCUAUGCAAUUUAUGUAAUUAUCUUCCAUAUGUUAUUUUCGUCCAGUUAUUUGCGGCAUAGGGACGUUUCACCUCCUCGUAAAUUUAAAUUUUAACACGUAAUGAUAAGGACCUGUGGACUCGAUUAAAAAUAAAGAAAAGGUUCCCGUUGCUAAAUAUUGUAUACAUAGGCUCAAAUCGAGUAUUUGAAGUAUGAUAGUAUAUCUUAUUAUACAUAUAAGCAUCAAGAUAUUAUUACUAUCUAAUUGCUACUUUGGUUGCGUUUGUAGUUCAAGAUAAGGCUGCUGGAAAUAAUUAAACCGAUUGUCAAAUAAAGUUGGACGAUUAGUCAUCUCUACUGUAAUUGAAUUCUGUUUUCACAUCGGGUUUGUUACUAGAAAAUCAAUGGAAUUGAUAUUUCAAUUAAAAAAAUUAUUAAUACCUUCACCAGGUACAUAUGACAUAAUAUCAUAUAACCAAGACAAAAAUUAUGUUAGUGUCCUGACGACAACAAUGGAAAUAUCAAUCUUAAAAUUUCGCCGCUGCUCCAAUUUCACCGAUAUAAUCGUUCUUGUAUUUUUUUCAAUACUAUUAAAAUUUAAAAGAAAAAGGGACAUUUUAUUUUUGCUAAGCUUUAAAAAAUAGCUUACAUAUAAAGGCUUCCUUAGGCGUUAAUAUACCUAAUAGAAUAGAUUUUCACAUUUAUAGAAUUACGGUGCUCUGUAUAAACACUAAAGAAGUUAUCUUAACUUACAAAAAAAGUUGACCUAGAAUUAUUGGUAGGAUAUAAUAGGAUUGUUAUAGAUGCUGUUUUUCUUAGCUUAAAUUGGUAGUUCGGUAAGGUUUAACAAGUACUGUUUAACUGAUAAC